CAGUCAUUCAGAUUCAAUAUGUUCCUGGGGCAGGGCCCAGGUAUCUGCAUUUGUCACAAGUGUCCCAAGUGACUCUGAAACAAGAGGUCAUGGACUCUGCCCUAUGAAACACUUCUCAAGACAGUAUAGAAUAUUCAUGUUCCUUCUGACUUUGAACUUGGGUAAAUCUGGGAAACUUGAUGCCUCAGGUGCCCUCAAGACCUUGACGGCAAUAUGGCUGAGGUGAAGGACGUUGUACUUGGAGUUCUUAAGAGGAAAGGGAAAUCCAGGACCUCUUGCAGUCAGAGCAGGAUGUGGCGACGAGGAAGCUAACGAGGAGACGUUGGAUGCUUUCAUAUUUAGAAGUGAAGAAAGUGGAGGUCAUUUCUAGCUACAGGAAGGCUGGGGCUCCUCGGGGCCAUCUGAACUUCUGAUGGGGCAUGGGACUGUGGCUAACAACGGAUAAAUCUUAGGCUGAGCUGUCACAGGCGCCUACUUCUCUUCCGACUGCAAGUAUAUUGACAGUACACGCACUAGAAUCUGGAUUUAGAGCGAGUCAAGGGCAGGGACUAUGCUUUCAUGAUAGCCUCAGAGCCUUAGUUAUAGGCGCUCAAUAAAUGCCUACUGAAUGAAUGAACACCCUGGCAGGAUGGGAUCAUAACAACUAGAGACAAACCAUCUAUUUCCCCCUGGGCACAGCCGUUCCUA